CUACGGGGUGCUCCAGUGGGGAAUAUUGGACAAUGGGGGAAACCCUGAUCCAGCAAUGCCGCGUGUGUGAAGAAGGCCUGCGGGUUGUAAAGCACUUUCGGUUGGGAGGACUGCUUCUAGCACUAAUAUUGUUGGAAGUUGACGUUACCUUCAGAAGAAGCACCGGCUAACUCCGUGCCAGCAGCCGCGGUAAUACGGAGGGUGCAAGCGUUAAUCGGAAUUACUGGGCGUAAAGCGCGCGUAGGCGGCUAGAUCAGUCGGGUGUGAAAGCCCCGGGCUUAACCGGGGAACUGCAUCCGAAAAGGUCCAGCUUGGGGACAGGAGGGGGAGAGGGAAUUCCACAUGGAGGGGGGAAAUGGGUAGAUAUGUGGAGGAACACCAAUGGCGAAGGCAGCUUUCUGGGCUUAUACUGACGCUGAGGGGCGAAAGCGUGGGGAUCAAACAGGAUUAGAUACCCGCGUAGUC
rnacentral:rRNA from 1 species